UAGAUUGAAGCCAGUUGAUUAGGGCGUUUAGCUGUUAACUAAAGGUUUAUGGGUUUAAAUCCCAUCGGUCUAGGAAUAUUAUG
rnacentral:tRNA from 1 species